rnacentral:rRNA from 1 species
AACGAGCGAAACCCUUAUCCUUUGUUGCCAGCGGUUAGGCCGGGAACUCAAAGGAGACUGCCAGUGAUAAACUGGAGGAAGGUGGGGAUGACGUCAAGUCAUCAUGGCCCUUACGACCAGGGCUACACACGUGCUACAAUGGCAUAUACAAAGAGAAGCGACCUCGCGAGAGCAAGCGGACCUCAUAAAGUAUGUCGUAGUCCGGAUUGGAGUCUGCAACUCGACUCCAUGAAGUCGGAAUCGCUAGUAAUCGUAGAUCAGAAUGCUACGGUGAAUACGUUCCCGGGCCUUGUACACACCGCCCGUCACACCAUGGGAGUGGGUUGCAAAAGAAGUAGGUAGCUU